GUUACAGUAUGAUAUUUAAUAAAUGAUUCUAUGUGUAUUAUUGAAAUUUAAUAUAUUAUCUACGUCCAUCGGAAGAGUGUAUAACACUUUCUAAUUUCAAUGUGGGCAAGAUGAAAACAAAAUUGUGACAAUAUGAGACAGUCUAUCACCACAUCAUGUAACUUUACUUGAUAAUAUGAGAAAUCCUCAGAACAAAGAGACAAAUUCAGAAGAAAUUAGGGAAUAUGGACUAAUUAAAUAACUUAAGACUAAAAAAUUAAGAAAAUAAUAUUAACUAAACAAUGUCUAUUUGCUAUAUGGUUUUUGUCAAAUUUUGGCCCGUAUUACUCAUGAGUUCUUCGUUGUCUCUUUUUUCCUUCCUCUCGCUGACGAGAAGUCUCAAAUCUCUCUUUUUCUCUCAUUAGGAUUCUCUUAAUUUUGCUUGAUGUCCUCUUUUUUUUUCUUUCUCUCCAUCUUAUUGGAUUUCUUCACAACCAUAUUUUUUUUUCUUUUUCCAUAUCACUAUUUCUCUUCUUCGUCGGACAUCACCACCGAGUCUCACUACUCCGACCCACCAGACCACCACCACAACUGAAUCUCACAACUAUCACAAUCAUCAUCACCAUCAAUACUAAAUCUCGUUAAUUCUAACCCACCACCUUCAUCAAUAUUUACCACCACCACCACCAAGCUUG
rnacentral:lncRNA from 1 species